rnacentral:rRNA from 1 species
UACGGAGGGGGCGAGCGUUAUUCGGAAUUAUUGGGCGUAAAGGGCGCGUAGGCGGUCAGCACAAGUCAGUUGUGAAAUCUCCGGGCUUAACUCGGAAAGGUCAACUGAUACUGUGCGACUAGAGUGCGGAAGGGGCAACUGGAAUUCUCGGUGUAGCGGUGAAAUGCGUAGAUAUCGAGAGGAACACCUGCGGCGAAGGCGGGUUGCUGGGCCGACACUGACGCUGAUGCGCGAAAGCCAGGGGAGCGAACGGG